UCCGUAGGCGGGCAAUUAAGUCAGAGGUGAAAUCCCACAGCUCAACUGUGGAACUGCCCUUGAUACUGGUUGUCUUGAGUUACAGUGAAGUAGAUAGAAUAUGUAGUGUAGCGGUGAAAUGCAUAGAUAUUACAUAGAAUACCGAUUGCGAAAGCAGUCUACUAACUGUAUACUGACGCUAAUGGACGAAAGCGUGGGGAGCGAACAGGAUUAGAUACCCUGGUAGUCC
rnacentral:rRNA from 1 species